AGCGAACGCUGGCGGCAGGCUUAACACAUGCAAGUCGAACGGGCGUAGCAAUACGUCAGUGGCAGACGGGUGAGUAACGCGUGGGAACGUACCUUUUGGUUCGGAACAACCCAGGGAAACUUGGGCUAAUACCGGAUAAGCCCUUACGGGGAAAGAUUUAUCGCCGAAAGAUCGGCCCGCGUCUGAUUAGCUAGUUGGUGAGGUAACGGCUCACCAAGGCGACGAUCAGUAGCUGGUCUGAGAGGAUGAUCAGCCACAUUGGGACUGAGACACGGCCCAAACUCCUACGGGAGGCAGCAGUGGGGAAUAUUGGACAAUGGGCGCAAGCCUGAUCCAGCCAUGCCGCGUGAGUGAUGAAGGCCCUAGGGUUGUAAAGCUCUUUUGUGCGGGAAGAUAAUGACGGUACCGCAAGAAUAAGCCCCGGCUAACUUCGUGCCAGCCGCCGCCGUAAG
rnacentral:rRNA from 1 species